CCACCGGGAUCUGGUCGGGGCUCACGAAGUGCACGUGGGUGUCGAUGGCGCCCGCCGUGAGGAUUUUGUGCUCACCGGCGAUGAUGUCGGUGGCCGCGCCGAUGGUGAUGUUCACCCCGUUGGUGAUAUCCGGGUUUCCUGCCUUGCCGAUCUUGAAGAUGUGGCCGUCGCGCAAUGCGACGUCGGCCUUGUAGAUCCCGGUGUAGUCAAGCACCACCACAUUGGUGAUGACGGUAUCGGGGAUGUCCUGGUCGCGGGUCAUUUGACCGUUUUGGCCCAUGCCGUCGCGGAUGA
rfam:Arthrobacter sp. 7749 genome.